GACGAACGCUGGCGGCGUGCCUAAUACAUGCAAGUAGAACGCACAGUUUAUACCGUAGCUUGCUACACCAUAGACUGUGAGUUGCGAACGGGUGAGUAACGCGUAGGUAACCUGCCUGGUAGCGGGGGAUAACUAUUGGAAACGAUAGCUAAUACCGCAUAAUAUUAAUUAUUGCAUGAUAAUUAAUUGAAAGGUGCAAUUGCACCACUACCAGAUGGACCUGCGUUGUAUUAGCUAGUAGGUGAGGUAACGGCUCACCUAGGCGACGAUACAUAGCCGACCUGAGAGGGUGAUCGGCCACACUGGGACUGAGACACGGCCCAGACUCCUACGGGAGGCAGCAGUAGGGAAUCUUCGGCAAUGGACGAAAGUCUGACCGAGCAACGCCGCGUGAGUGAAGAAGGCUUUCGGAUCGUAAAGCUCUGUUGUAAGAGAAGAACGGGUGUGAGAGUGGAAAGUUCACACUGUGACGGUAUCUUACCAGAAAGGGACGGCUAACUACGU
rnacentral:rRNA from 1 species